rnacentral:rRNA from 1 species
GGCGGGACUACCCGCUGAGUUUAAGCAUAUAAAUAAGCGGAGGAGAAGAAACUUACAAGGAUUCCCCUAGUAACGGCGAGCGAACCGGGAGCAGCCCAGCUUGAGAAUCGGGCGGCUGUGCCGUCCGAAUUGUAGUCUGGAGAGGCGUCCUCAGCGACGGACCGGGCCCAAGUCCCCUGGAAAGGGGCGCCUGGGAGGGUGAGAGCCCCGUCCGGCCCGGACCCUGUCGCCCCACGAGGCGCCGUCAACGAGUCGGGUUGUUUGGGAAUGCAGCCCAAAUCGGGCGGUAGACUCCGUCCAAGGCUAAAUACAGGCGAGAGACCGAUAGCGAACAAGUACCGC